GGAACAUUUAGCCACAAUAUAGGUGGUGUCGCUAAUCCGUUCCACCACCUUAAAUAGCCCCUGCCAAGCUGCCUGGAGCUUGUCCUUCUUGGAGGGUCUGAGGGCUAGUACCUUUUGCCCUACCUCCAGGUUCCUGUCUCGGGCUCCCCGAUCAUACCAUUGUUUCUGACGCUUCUGAGCCGCCUGCAGGUUCUCCCGAACUGAUUCGGUUAGGGCCUGCAAGUGGUCCUGAAACUCCAG